rnacentral:tRNA from 1 species
UUUGUGGCUUAAUUGGUUGAAGCGCCGGACUACCGUUACGGAAUCGUGGUUUCGAUUCCCAUCAAA